rnacentral:rRNA from 1 species
GAGUUUGAUCCUGGCUCAGAACGAACGCUGGCGGCAUGGCUAAAACAUGCAAGUCGCGCGCGAAAGUUCCCUUCGGGGAGCGAGUAGAGCGGCGAAAGGGCGAGUAAUGAAUAGGUAACGUACCCUUGGCUCAGGGAUAGCCCACCGAAAGGUGGGAUAAUACCUGAUAAGACCACAGCCCCCUCGGGGGUGGCGGUCAAAGGUGGGGACCUUCGGGCCUACCGGACAAGGAGCGGCCUAUUUCGUAUCAGCUUGUUGGUGAGGUAAUGGCUCACCAAGGCUACGACGCGUACCGGGGCUGAGAGGUUGACCCGGCGCAUUGGGACUGAGACACUGCCCAGACUCCUACGGGAGGCUGCAGUAACGAAUAUUGGGCAAUGGGCGAAAGCCUGACCCAGCAAUGCCGCGUGUGGGAAGAAGCUCUUCGGGGUGUAAACCACUGUCAGGGAUUACCAAGCAAGGGAGGCAAAUAGUCUCCUGCGUUGAGGAGUCCCAGAGGAAGCCACGGCUAACUUCGUGCCAGCAGCCGCGGUAAUACGAAGGUGGCAAGCGUUGUUCGGAAUCACUGGGCUUAAAGAGCACGUAGGCGGCCAUGAAAGCGUCCUGUGAAAUCCCUCGGCUCAACCGAGGAAUUGCUGGGCGAACUGCAUGGCUUGAGGCAGGCAGGGGUGUGUGGAACUCUUGGUGGAGCGGUGAAAUGCGUAGAUAUCAAGAGGAACGCCGGUGGCGAAAGCGGCACACUGGGCCUGAACUGACGCUGAGGUGCGAAAGCCAGGGGAGCGAACGGGAUUAGAUACCCCGGUAGUCCUGGCCGUAAACGAUGCCUACUAGGCUGGAGUCUCUCUGACGGGGUUCCGGUCGUAACGAAAGCAUUAAGUAGGCCGCCUGGGGAGUACGGUCGCAAGGCUAAAACUCAAAGGAAUUGACGGGGGCUCACACAAGCGGUGGAGCAUGUUGCUUAAUUCGAUCAACGCGAAGAACCUUAUCCUGGGUUUGACAUGUAUGGAUGCGUGCCUGGAAACAGGAUUUCGCUGCCUUUCGGGGUGAAACAUACACAGGUGCUGCAUGGCUGUCGUCAGCUCGUGUCGUGAGAUGUUGGGUUAAGUCCCGUAACGAGCGAAACCCUUAUCGUUAGUUGCCAGCGGGUCAUGCCGGGGACUCUAGCGAGACUGCCGGUGUUAAACCGGAGGAAGGUGGGGAUGACGUCAAGUCCUCAUGGCCUUUAUGCCCAGGGCUGCAAACGUGCUACAAUGGCCGGUACAAACCGACGCGAUACCGCGAGGUGGAGCAAAUCGGAGAAAGCCGGUCCCAGUCCGGAUUGGAGUCUGCAACUCGACUCCAUGAAGUUGGAAUCGCUAGUAAUCGCAGAUCAGCUACGCUGCGGUGAAUGUGUUCCUGAGCCUUGUACACACCGCCCGUCAAGUCAUGGAAGCUGGGAGCACCCGAAGUCGGGUCGUUACAGACCUGCCGAAGGUGAGUUCGGUGACUGGGACUAAGUCGUAACAAGGUA